AGCACUGAUGAGAUUGGAUUGUGUCUGACCUGGUAUUGCUCCCUCCGGGGUAAGCUCUGACCAGGAUAUGAGGACACUAAUCUUCUCUCUGAGCUG